AUUGAACGCUGGCGGCAGGCCUAACACAUGCAAGUCGAGCGGAUGACGGGAGCUUGCUCCUUGAUUCAGCGGCGGACGGGUGAGUAAUGCCUAGGAAUCUGCCUGGUAGUGGGGGACAACGUUUCGAAAGGAACGCUAAUACCGCAUACGUCCUACGGGAGAAAGCAGGGGACCUUCGGGCCUUGCGCUAUCAGAUGAGCCUAGGUCGGAUUAGCUUGUUGGUGAGGUAAUGGCUCACCAAGGCGACGAUCCGUAACUGGUCUGAGAGGAUGAUCAGUCACACUGGAACUGAGACACGGUCCAGACUCCUACGGGAGGCAGCAGUGGGGAAUAUUGGACAAUGGGCGAAAGCCUGAUCCAGCCAUGCCGCGUGUGUGAAGAAGGUCUUCGGAUUGUAAAGCGCUUUAAGUUGGGAGGAAGGGUUGUAGAUUAAUACUCUGCAAUUUUGACGUUACCGACAGAAUAAGCACCGGCUAACUCUGUG
rnacentral:rRNA from 1 species